AUGAACGCUAGCUACAGGCUUAACACAUGCAAGUCGAGGGGAAACGACAUCGAAAGCUUGCUUUUGAUGGGUGUCGACCGGCGCACGGGUGAGUAACGCGUAUCCAACCUGCCCACCACUUGGGGAUAACCUUGCGAAAGUAAGACUAAUACCCAAUGAUAUCUCUAGAAGGCAUCUGAAAGAGAUUAAAGAUUUAUCGGUGAUGGAUGGGGAUGCGUCUGAUUAGCUUGUUGGCGGGGUAACGGCCCACCAAGGCAACGAUCAGUAGGGGUUCUGAGAGGAAGGUCCCCCACAUUGGAACUGAGACACGGUCCAAACUCCUACGGGAGGCAGCAGUGAGGAAUAUUGGUCAAUGGGCGAGAGCCUGAACCAGCCAAGUAGCGUGCAGGAUGACGGCCCUAUGGGUUGUAAACUGCUUUUAUAAGGGAAUAAAGUGAGUCUCGUGAGACUUUUUGCAUGUACCUUAUGAAUAAGGACCGGCUAAUUCCGUGCCAGCAGCCGCGGUAAUACGGAAGGUCCGGGCGUUAUCCGGAUUUAUUGGGUUUAAAGGGAGCGUAGGCCGGAGAUUAAGCGUGUUGUGAAAUGUAGACGCUCAACGUCUGCACUGCAGCGCGAACUGGUUUCCUUGAGUACGCACAAAGUGGGCGGAAUUCGUGGUGUAGCGGUGAAAUGCUUAGAUAUCACGAAGAACUCCGAUUGCGAAGGCAGCUCACUGGAGCGCAACUGACGCUGAAGCUCGAAAGUGCGGGUAUCGAACAGGAUUAGAUACCCUGGUAGUCCGCACGGUAAACGAUGGAUGCCCGCUGUUGGUCUGAAUAGGUCAGCGGCCAAGCGAAAGCAUUAAGCAUCCCACCUGGGGAGUACGCCGGCAACGGUGAAACUCAAAGGAAUUGACGGGGGCCCGCACAAGCGGUGGAGCAUGUGGUUUAAUUCGAAGCAACGCGAAGAACCUUACCAGGUCUUGACAUCGAUCUAAAGGCUCCAGAGAUGGAGAGAUAGCUAUAGAGAAGACAGGUGGUGCAUGGUUGUCGUCAGCUCGUGCCGUGAGGUGUCGGCUUAAGUGCCAUAACGAGCGCAACCCCUCUCCUUAGUUGCCAUCAGGUCAUGCUGGGCACUCUGGGGACACUGCCACCGUAAGGUGUGAGGAAGGUGGGGAUGACGUCAAAUCAGCACGGCCCUUACGUCCGGGGCUACACACGUGUUACAAUGGCAGGUACAGAGAGACGGUCCCUUGCAAAAUGGAUCAAAUCCUUAAAGCCUGUCUCAGUUCGGACUGGGGUCUGCAACCCGACCCCACGAAGCUGGAUUCGCUAGUAAUCGCGCAUCAGCCAUGGCGCGGUGAAUACGUUCCCGGGCCUUGUACACACCGCCCGUCAAGCCAUGAAAGCCGGGGGCGCCUAAAGUCCGUGACCGUAAGGAGCGGCCUAGGGCGAAACUGGUAAUUGGGGCU
rnacentral:rRNA from 1 species